rnacentral:rRNA from 1 species
UACGUAGGGGGCAAGCGUUGUCCGGAAUCAUUGGGCGUAAAGAGCGUGUAGGCGGCCCGAUAAGUCCGCUGUGAAAGUCCAGGGCUCAACCCUGGAAUGCCGGUGGAUACUGUCGGGCUCGAGUCCGGAAGAGGUGAGUGGAAUUCCUGGUGUAGCGGUGAAAUGCGCAGAUAUCAGGAGGAACACCAAUGGCGAAGGCAGGUCUCUGGGCUGACACUGACGCUCAUGCACGAAAGCGUGGGGAGCAAACAGG